rnacentral:tRNA from 1 species
GGGGCCGUAGCUCAGUUGGGAGAGCGCAACGCUGGCAGCGUUGAGGUCGUCGGUUCGAGACCGUCCGGCUCCACCA